UACAGAGGGUGCAAGCGUUGUUCGGAAUUACUGGGCGUAAAGGGCGCGUAGGCGGCCUUCUAAGUCAGACGUGAAAUCCCCCGGCUUAACCUGGGAACUGCGUCUGAUACUGGGAGGCUAGAGUAUGGGAGAGGGAUGUAGAAUUCCAGGUGUAGCGGUGAAAUGCGUAGAUAUCUGGAGGAAUACCGGUGGCGAAGGCGGCAUCCUGGACCAUUACUGACGCUGAGGCGCGAAAGCUAGGGGAGCAAACGGG
rnacentral:rRNA from 1 species